rnacentral:rRNA from 1 species
UCUACGGGGCGCAGCAGUGGGGAAUAUUGGACAAUGGGCGAAAGCCUGAUCCAGCCAUGCCGCGUGUGUGAAGAAGGCCUUCGGGUUGUAAAGCACUUUCAGUGGGGAAGAAAGCCUUGGGGCUAAUACCCUCGAGGAAGGACAUCACCCACAGAAGAAGCACCGGCUAACUCCGUGCCAGCAGCCGCGGUAAUACGGAGGGUGCGAGCGUUAAUCGGAAUUACUGGGCGUAAAGCGCGCGUAGGCGGUCUGAUAAGCCGGUUGUGAAAGCCCCGGGCUCAACCUGGGAACGGCAUCCGGAACUGUCAGGCUAGAGUGCAGGAGAGGAAGGUAGAAUUCCCGGUGUAGCGGUGAAAUGCGUAGAGAUCGGGAGGAAUACCAGUGGCGAAGGCGGCCUUCUGGACUGACACUGACGCUGAGGUGCGAAAGCGUGGGUAGCAAACAGGAUUAGAUACCCUUGUAGUC